rnacentral:rRNA from 1 species
GACCAGACUCCUACGGGAGGCAGCAGUGAGGAAUAUUGGUCAAUGGGCGUAAGCCUGAACCAGCCAAGUCGCGUGAGGGACGACGGCCCUACGGGUUGUAAACCUCUUUUGCCGGGGGACAAACGGCGGCACGCGUGCCGUCCUGAGGGUACCCGGAGAAAAAGCAUCGGCUAACUCCGUGCCAGCAGCCGCGGUAAUACGGAGGAUGCGAGCGUUAUCCGGAUUUAUUGGGUUUAAAGGGUGCGUAGGUGGUUAAUUAAGUCAGCGGUGAAAGUUUGUGGCUCAACCAUAAAAUUGCCGUUGAAACUGGUUGACUUGAGUAUAGUUGAGGUAGGCGGAAUGCGUGGUGUAGCGGUGAAAUGCAUAGAUAUCACGCAGAACUCCGAUUGCGAAGGCAGCUUACUAAACUAUAACUGACACUGAAGCACGACAGCGUGGGGAUCAAACAGGAUUAGAUCCCCCGGUA